UACAGAGGUCCCAAGCGUUGUUCGGAUUCACUGGGCGUAAAGAGUGCGUAGGCGGUCGGGUAAGUCUGGCGUGAAAUCUCCAAGCCUAACUUGGAAACUGCGUUGGAUACUAUCCGGCUCGAGGAAUGGAGGGGAGACUGGAAUACUUGGUGUAGCAGUGAAAUGCGUAGAUAUCAAGUGGAACACCAGUGGCGAAGGCGAGUCUCUGGACAUUUCCUGACGCUGAGGCACGAAAGCCAGGGGAGCAAACGGG
rnacentral:rRNA from 1 species